rnacentral:misc_RNA from 1 species
GAUGAAGAACGUAGUGAAAUGCGAUAAGUAAUGUGAAUUGCAGAAUUCAGUGAAUCAUCGAAUCUUUGAACGCACCUUGCACUCCUUGGUAUUCCGAGGAGUACGCCUGUUCGAGUGUUAUGAAGCUCUCAAAACGCAAUUGGCUUAAAACCUGAUUGUUGUUUUGGAUUUGAACUUUGCCGUGUUAUAACGGCUGGUUUUAAAAGUAUUAGCUGGUACUAGAACGAAUUGGUUCUACUCAACGUGAUAAUUAUCUGAUCGUUGAGGACAUUCCUUUCACGAGGAAUGGCCAUAGUAAAUUCAAUGGACUGCUUCUAAUCUGGCUUUAAUUCUUUAUUGGAUUAACCACUUUUCAAAUCUGACCUCGAAUCAGGUGGGGCUACCCGCUGAACUUAAGCAUAUCAAUAAGCGGAGGA